CCCUUAGAUGUCCUGGGCCGCACGCGCGCUACACUGACAUGUUCAACAAGCCUCCUAGUUCGACAGGAUUUGGGAAAUCUUUGAACGCAUGUCGUGAUAGGGAUAGAUCAUUGCAAUUAUUGAUCUUGAACGAGGAAUUCCUAGUAAGCGCGAGUCAUCAGCUCGCGUUGACUACGUCCCUGCCCUUUGUACACACCGCCCGUCGCUCCUACCGAUUGAAUGGUCCGGUGAAGUGUUCGGAUCGCGCCGACGUGGGCGGUUCGCCGCCGGCGACGUCGCGAGAAGUCCACUGAACCUUAUCAUUUAGAGGAAGGAGAAGUCGUAACA
rnacentral:rRNA from 1 species